UUUUAACUCUUUUGACCCGGUAAGAUGUUUACGUUCCGUCUCCCUAUGUUUUCUCCUUAUAUAAAUUUCUUUUCUGUAUCAUCGCUUCACGUACAUUCUACAGAGUACAGACGUUCAUACAACCACAUCAGGCGAUGACGAUGAAAUCGAAAAAAUCCACCACAACAAUGGACUCGGUCUCAAGAGCGCAUCAGCUUCUGAAGAAAGGUUUUAAUUGGUGGCAGUAAUGAAACUGAAAUGUGAAACGUUGCCGCCGAAAAGAUACAAGAUCUGACGUAGGAGCUUAACCAGCAAGAUAUUAGCGAACUAGACGCCCUUGGGCUUGAACAAAACAAAACAAAUAAAUCUUUUCUCUUUCAGGGCGUCUAACCCAUCUCCUGCAGCUGCAUAGGUAGUCUCGCAUGUGCACCUUCCUAUGUCUACGAAGACAACGCUGGGAGGAAGGAAUCUAAGACAGACGCUUUGAUGCAGAUCCAUACUAUGUAUGUUCCCAAAGCUGCACUUUGUCCUAUUACGGCCAACAUCAUACCACAGAGGAGAAACUGGUGUUGCUUUACAUUCUCUCUGCUUAUAUUCUUGAAUAAUUAAUAGGAGAAACUGGAUAUUUUAUGUGUUAUUGUUCUAUGUUAUCAGAAAAUAUAGAAGUGUAGUGGUAAGAAGAACAUGAUCUGCUUAUGUGUUGUUCUUCUUAUUCAAUGUAGUUUAACGAAUUUUGGAAUGUUUGAUCUUGUCAUCCAGUUUCUUAUAUGCAACUUGAAAGGAGCAUUCACUAAAUAGCUGCCACCUCGGAUCAGGUCAAGUUUUUGCUUUUAAUCUGUCUUUUAACCACUCUUCUCCUGGUGAAAAUUGUAUAUGAAUGUAGUUUUACAACAACACUCAAUACCCUUGUCAAUUUGUUGUCCUUAAAGCUUGAUCAACUAUCUCAAAUGAUUUAAGAAAACUUCGUCAAACUCUAAUGCGGAACUGCAUCAGUGCUGAUCAAAAGUUUGCUGAAGAGGCAAUGAAGCAGAAUAAUUGUUUCCUAUUUCUGAGAUUUAUUGCCUUGAAUCUCUACCUUAAUAGCUCUUCGUAAGUUUGUUAUCUAAUUAACUUCUAAAUUAGACUCCAUAUGACUUCAUUUAGUUAUAUAAGAUUUUAAUUGAUUGAUUAUAUCAAUUUUUGAAAUUUUCUUUUGAUUAUUAGAUUCUUUCUAUGUUCUUAUUGAAAUUUGAUCCAUCACAAAAAUCUAAAUAAUAGUAAAAAGGUACAUUUUGCAUACACCACAUAGAGUCUAAUAACAAAGUUAUGUAUUAUUCAUUUUGUCUACGUUUAAUUCUCUCUAACAAAAGAAUAGUUUUCGCUUAAUUUAUGUCUUAGGUGAGGUGAUCUAUGGAGAAGUGAUAAAUCCAAUGGAAGCUCAUAGUUCUUGGAACUUUGGAAGAACAAAAAGGAAUCUCAUUCCUUGGAGAUUCCUUGGAAACGUACUGGUUUGAUGAAAAACAGCUGGUGUUUAAUCAAGUGAGUUCUGUUGUGGUGAAGGCAAUCAAAUCCUUGACACUGGUUUUGGUCAUCUCUACAGUGAUAUAAUCUCAAUCGAUACUAUCAACCACCAUUUCAAAUGUUCAGACGCGACCAUUGCCACUGCUCCAACGACCAUGUGAAGUUAGUUCAAAUAACAGCCAUUGUUAACCCAAUACUUACGGAGUUGUUCAUGUUUGGCAGCUACCAACAGCUUAUUAGUAUAUAUUUACUUGCACUAUGACUUUUUCUAAAAAACAAUUGAUAUGGUUGUUGUCGUUAUUUUCGUUAUCGUCAUUAUAUGAAGAUAUGGGUUUUACCUUUUACUUAA